GACGAACGCUGGCGGCGUGCUUAACACAUGCAAGUCGAACGAAGAGCGACGGAAGCUUGCUUCUAUCAAUCUUAGUGGCGAACGGGUGAGUAACGCGUAAUCAACCUGCCCUUCAGAGGGGGACAACAGUUGGAAACGACUGCUAAUACCGCAUACGAUCUAAUCUCGGCAUCGAGGAUGGAUGAAAGGUGGCCUCUACAUGUAAGCUAUCACUGAAGGAGGGGAUUGCGUCUGAUUAGCUAGUUGGAGGGGUAACGGCCCACCAAGGUGAUGAUCAGUAGCCGGUCUGAGAGGAUGAACGGCCACAUUGGGACUGAGACACGGCCCAGACUCCUACGGGAGGCAGCAGUGGGGAAUCUUCCGCAAUGGACGAAAGUCUGACGGAGCAACGCCGCGUGAGUGAUGACGGCCUUCGGGUUGUAAAGCUCUGUUAAUCGGGACGAAAGGCCUUCUUGCGAAUAGUGAGAAGGAUUGACGGUACCGGAAUAGAAAGCCACGGCUAACUACGUG
rnacentral:rRNA from 1 species